rnacentral:rRNA from 1 species
GAUGAACGCUAGCGAUAGGCUUAACACAUGCAAGUCGAGGGGCAGCAUGGUCUUAGCUUGCUAAGACUGAUGGCGACCGGCGUACGGGUGCGUAACGCGUAUGCAACUUGCCUCACAGAGGGGGAUAACCCGUCGAAAGACGGACUAAUACCGCGUACACUCUAUGUUGGGCAUCCAAUGUAGAGGAAAUGAAAUUCGCUGUGAGAUAGGCAUGCGUCCCAUUAGCUAGUUGGUGAGGUAACGGCUCACCAAGGCGACGAUGGGUAGGGGAACUGAGAGGUUGAACCCCCACACUGGUACUGAGACACGGACCAGACUCCUACGGGAGGCAGCAGUGAGGAAUAUUGGUCAAUGGGCGAGAGCCUGAACCAGCCAAGUCGCGUGAAGGAUGACUGUCUUAUGGAUUGUAAACUUCUUUUAUACGGGAAUAACAAGAGCCACGUGUGGC